GACGAACGCUGGCGGCGUGCUUAACACAUGCAAGUCGAACGCUGAAGCUCAGCUUUUGUUAGGUGGAUGAGUGGCGAACGGGUGAGUAACACGUGAGUAACCUGCCCCCUUCUUUGGGAUAACGCCCGGAAACGGGUGCUAAUACUGGAUAUUCACUGGUCUUCGCAUGGGGGUUGGUGGAAAGGGUUUUUCUGGUGGGGGAUGGGCUCGCGGCCUAUCAGCUUGUUGGUGGGGUGAUGGCCUACCAAGGCUUUGACGGGUAGCCGGCCUGAGAGGGUGACCGGUCACAUUGGGACUGAGAUACGGCCCAGACUCCUACGGGAGGCAGCAGUGGGGAAUAUUGCACAAUGGGCGCAAGCCUGAUGCAGCGACGCCGCGUGAGGGAUGGAGGCCUUCGGGUUGUGAACCUCUUUCGCUCAUGGUCAAGCCGCAACAAUGGUUGUGGUGAGGGUAGUGGGUAAAGAAGCGCCGGCUAACUACGUG
rnacentral:rRNA from 1 species